GCAGAUAUUCACAUUGCAAUCCGCAACAGCAGCAAAAUUACAGUUACGAAGUAGCAAAGAAAAUAAUCUUACGGUUGAAGGUCAUCACAACACGAGGACCUGUACUACAGAGGUCGCGGUGUCAGGAAGGUCUAGAACCUGCUGUCAUGGGGGGGUUGCAGAUCAGCCGGGGCUACACAAUGAGACUCAUUCUCAAGAAAGAAAAAAAAAAUGACAGGAAAUAUAAGCCUGACUGUGCGCUCCACCAGCUCUACCCCAGCCCUCACCUACAACCACGCAAGGAUCUGCUUCGUUCUCCGAGAGAGUGUACUUCCCACAUUGCUUAUGCCUCAAAGUCAUCCCUACAAUGUGGCCCGAGACCAUAAGCACAAUGCCUGGCAUAGAAAAAA
rnacentral:lncRNA from 1 species